AAUCCAUGAUGGGGGCAUUGUUGCAACAACCCUUUAAAACUGUCCCAUACUUCGAGCAAUGAUUCUCCAUCUAUCUAAGCAAAGUUCAUGAUUUGAUUUCUUAGAUA